rnacentral:rRNA from 1 species
UACAGAGGAUGCAAGCGUUAUCCGGAAUGAUUGGGCGUAAAGCGUCUGUAGGUGGCUUUUUAAGUCCGCCGUCAAAUCCCAGGGCUCAACUCUGGACAGGCGGUGGAAACUACCAAGCUGGAGUACGGUAGGGGCAGAGGGAAUUUCCGGUGGAGCGGUGAAAUGCGCAGAUAUCAGGAGGAACACCGGUGGCGAAGGCGGGUCUCUGGGCCGAUACUGACGCUGAGGAGCGAAAGCCAGGGGAGCAAACGGG